AGCACGGACCAAGGAGUUCAGCGUGUACGCGAGUCAUUGGGUGAAAAAACCCAAAGGCGUAAUGAAAGUGAAGGGAACUUUACGUUUCUGAGGGAGGAUGAGUCGGUUACCCGCAAGGGGCUGCUCCGCACUCCCGGGGCGUCUCUUUCUCAUUGCGAGUGGAGGCGCACCCAGAGCGUACACGCUGAUACCCGAAAGAUGGUGAACUAUGCCUGGCCAGGACGAAGCCAGGGGAAACCCUGGUGGAGGUCCGCAGCGAUUCUGACGUGCAAAUCGAUCGUCGGAGCUGGGUAUAGGGGCGAAAGACCAAUCGAACCAUCUAGUAGCUGGUUCCCUCCGAAGUUUCCCUCAGGAUAGCUUGCGCUCACGUGAAAGAGUCUCAUCCGGUAGAGCGAAUGAUUAGAGGCCUUGGGGUCGAAACGACCUCAACCUAUUCUCAAACUCCAAAUAGAUGAGAACUCCGGCUUUCUUGAACUUUGUUUUUGAAGCCGGGGGCUCGGAUCAGAGUGCCAAGUGGGCCAAUUUUGGUAAGCAGAAGUG
rnacentral:rRNA from 1 species